CUCCAAGUAUCCCCUAAUCCCGCCGCCAAUGGCGACUGCGACGGGGACGCCCCAGCUCCUACCGAAUACUUGUACUGGACUCGAGUGUACAACACCACCUCCUCCUCGUAAAUACCCUCUAUUGUUCUGGGAAUCUGGGCCAACUAGGCGGAGUGGAGAGGGCAAGGACGCCGCAUUGGAAAAGGAACAGGGCAAUAUGUAUUUUCAAACUGAAGAAGUUUGCUGAAGCGGUUGAGUGCUACUCGACAAUCCAGUGUAACUCAUGGAGGAAUGCCCAAGAGAAGUUCAGUUGGAGGUAAACAUAUGAUUUCUGAAUCAGGUAAAGCUGGAUAUAGAAAAUAUAUCACCUGUCAUCCACCAAGCGGUCUCCU